rnacentral:rRNA from 1 species
GGUUAAGCGACUAAGCGUACACGGUGGAUGCCCUGGCAGUCAGAGGCGAUGAAGGACGUGCUAAUCUGCGAAAAGCGUCGGUAAGGUGAUAUGAACCGUUAUAACCGGCGAUGUCCGAAUGGGGAAACCCAGUGCAAUUCGUUGCACUAUCGUUAACUGAAUACAUAGGUUAACGAGGCGAACCGGGGGAACUGAAACAUCUAAGUACCCCGAGGAAAAGAAAUCAACCGAGAUUCCCCCAGUAGCGGCGAGCGAACGGGGAGCAGCCCAGAGUCUGAAUCAGCUUGUGUGUUAGUGGAACGGUCUGGAAAGUCCGACGGUACAGGGUGAUAGUCCCGUACACCAAAAUGCACAGGUUGUGAACUCGAAGAGUAGGGCGGGACACGUGGUAUCCUGUCUGAAUAUGGGGGGACCAUCCUCCAAGGCUAAAUACUCCUGACUGACCGAUAGUGAACCAGUACCGUGAGGGAAAGGCGAAAAGAACCCCGGCGAGGGGAGUGAAAAAGAACCUGAAACCGUGUACGUACAAGCAGUGGGAGCACCUUCGGGUGUGACUGCGUACCUUUUGUAUAAUGGGUCAGCGACUUAUAUUCUGUAGCAAGGUUAACCGUAUAGGGGAGCCGCAGGGAAACCGAGUCUUAACUGGGCGUUAAGUUGCAGGGUAUAGACCCGAAACCCGGUGAUCUAGCCAUGGGCAGGUUGAAGGUUGGGUAACACUAACUGGAGGACCGAACCGACUAAUGUUGAAAAAUUAGCGGAUGACUUGUGGCUGGGGGUGAAAGGCCAAUCAAACCGGGAGAUAGCUGGUUCUCCCCGAAAGCUAUUUAGGUAGCGCCUCGUGAACUCAUCUUCGGGGGUAGAGCACUGUUUCGGCUAGGGGGUCAUCCCGACUUACCAACCCGAUGCAAACUACGAAUACCGAAGAAUGUUAUCACGGGAGACACACGGCGGGUGCUAACGUCCGUCGUGAAGAGGGAAACAACCCAGACCGCCAGCUAAGGUCCCAAAGUCAUGGUUAAGUGGGAAACGAUGUGGGAAGGCACAGACAGCCAGGAUGUUGGCUUAGAAGCAGCCAUCAUUUAAAGAAAGCGUAAUAGCUCACUGGUCGAGUCGGCCUGCGCGGAAGAUGUAACGGGGCUAAACCAUGCACCGAAGCUGCGGCAGCGACACUAUGUGUUGUUGGGUAGGGGAGCGUUCUGUAAGCCUGCGAAGGUGUGCUGUGAGGCAUGCUGGAGGUAUCAGAAGUGCGAAUGCUGACAUAAGUAACGAUAAAGCGGGUGAAAAGCCCGCUCGCCGGAAGACCAAGGGUUCCUGUCCAACGUUAAUCGGGGCAGGGUGAGUCGACCCCUAAGGCGAGGCCGAAAGGCGUAGUCGAUGGGAAACAGGUUAAUAUUCCUGUACUUGGUGUUACUGCGAAGGGGGGACGGAGAAGGCUAUGUUAGCCGGGCGACGGUUGUCCCGGUUUAAGCAUGUAGGCUGGUUGUCCAGGCAAAUCCGGAUAAUCAAGGCUGAGGUGUGAUGACGAGGCACUACGGUGCUGAAGUAACAAAUGCCCUGCUUCCAGGAAAAGCCUCUAAGCAUCAGGUAACAUCAAAUCGUACCCCAAACCGACACAGGUGGUCAGGUAGAGAAUACCAAGGCGCUUGAGAGAACUCGGGUGAAGGAACUAGGCAAAAUGGUGCCGUAACUUCGGGAGAAGGCACGCUGGUGUGUAGGUGAAGUCCCUGCGGAUGGAGCUGAGACCAGUCGAAGAUACCAGCUGGCUGCAACUGUUUAUUAAAAACACAGCACUGUGCAAACACGAAAGUGGACGUAUACGGUGUGACGCCUGCCCGGUGCCGGAAGGUUAAUUGAUGGGGUUAUCCGUAAGGAGAAGCUCUUGAUCGAAGCCCCGGUAAACGGCGGCCGUAACUAUAACGGUCCUAAGGUAGCGAAAUUCCUUGUCGGGUAAGUUCCGACCUGCACGAAUGGCGUAAUGAUGGCCAGGCUGUCUCCACCCGAGACUCAGUGAAAUUGAACUCGCUGUGAAGAUGCAGUGUACCCGCGGCAAGACGGAAAGACCCCGUGAACCUUUACUAUAGCUUGACACUGAACAUUGAGCCUUGAUGUGUAGGAUAGGUGGGAGGCUUUGAAGCGUGGACGCCAGUCUGCGUGGAGCCAACCUUGAAAUACCACCCUUUAAUGUUUGAUGUUCUAACGUUGGCCCCUGACCGGGGUUGCGGACAGUGUCUGGUGGGUAGUUUGACUGGGGCGGUCUCCUCCCAAAGCGUAACGGAGGAGCACGAAGGUUAGCUAAUCCUGGUCGGACAUCAGGAGGUUAGUGCAAUGGCAUAAGCUAGCUUGACUGCGAGCGUGACGGCGCGAGCAGGUGCGAAAGCAGGUCAUAGUGAUCCGGUGGUUCUGAAUGGAAGGGCCAUCGCUCAACGGAUAAAAGGUACUCCGGGGAUAACAGGCUGAUACCGCCCAAGAGUUCAUAUCGACGGCGGUGUUUGGCACCUCGAUGUCGGCUCAUCACAUCCUGGGGCUGAAGUAGGUCCCAAGGGUAUGGCUGUUCGCCAUUUAAAGUGGUACGCGAGCUGGGUUUAGAACGUCGUGAGACAGUUCGGUCCCUAUCUGCCGUGGGCGCUGGAGAAUUGAGGGGGGCUGCUCCUAGUACGAGAGGACCGGAGUGGACGCAUCACUGGUGUUCGGGUUGUCAUGCCAAUGGCACUGCCCGGUAGCUAAAUGCGGAAGAGAUAAGUGCUGAAAGCAUCUAAGCACGAAACUUGCCCCGAGAUGAGUUCUCCCUGAGACUUUAAGUCUCCUGAAGGAACGUUAAAGACGAUGACGUUGAUAGGCCGGGUGUGUAAGCGCAGCGAUGCGUUGAGCUAACCGGUACUAAUGAACCGUGAGGCUUAACCUU